GUGGGGAAUAUUGGACAAUGGGCGAAAGCCUGAUCCAGCCAUGCCGCGUGUGUGAAGAAGGUCUUCGGAUUGUAAAGCACUUUAAGUUGGGAGGAAGGGCAGUAAGUUAAUACCUUGCUGUUUUGACGUUACCAACAGAAUAAGCACCGGCUAACUUCGUGCCAGCAGCCGCGGUAAUACGAAGGGUGCAAGCGUUAAUCGGAAUUACUGGGCGUAAAGCGCGCGUAGGUGGUUCAGCAAGUUGGAGGUGAAAUCCCCGGGCUCAACCUGGGAACUGCCUCCAAAACUACUGAGGUAGAGUACGGUAGAGGGUAGUGGAAUUUCCUGUGUAGCGGUGAAAUGCGUAGAUAUAGGCAGGAACACCAGUGGCGAAGGCGACUACCUGGACUGAUACUGACACUGAGGUGCGAAAGCGUGGGGAGCAAACAGGAUUAGAAACCCUAGUAGUCC
rnacentral:rRNA from 1 species